rnacentral:pre_miRNA from 1 species
AACUUGCAAGCCCCUGCUGGAGGCUCUGACACCAUUGCACUACUGUACGCAAUGGUGAGCAGUGCAAUUGUAUUGUCAAAGCUUCCGUCGGUGAGCCCA